rnacentral:lncRNA from 1 species
CAAGCAUUUACCAAGUUACACUCCUAUAAGGAAAGUGAGAAAGUGCCCAUUGAUGCAGGGCCUGUCCAUUUGUUUUCAAUCUUGCAAUCAUGAAAGAGGUAUAUUCUUAAAAAUUUAAAGCUGGGCAAAAUAAGCCUUCUGGCAACAUAUAGCUCUUGAUUUCUAUGUUUUACAUUUAACUAUGGCACACUCUGCUUCUGUAACAGUCACUGUCACCGAGCCUCCCCUCCUCCCCGUGACGAGGUUCCUGGUGACCUCACAGAUGCAGCCCUCAGACAUACAGGCACCCGUGUCAGGGCUCCCACUCGGCAAGGGAGGAAAAUAAAAGGAGAAUCAAGUGAAGGGAAAGGAGAAAGGAGGCAGAAGAGAACACAAGAAGUUCCCUUUAACAGGAGGAAAAGAAACAGCGAUGAUCUAAAGGACAAAGAAGUUGAUUCUACAGAAAACCAUGAGAAUCUACAAAUUCCACCGUUUAAACAGGUCAGCUUCACCUGUUAUGAUUAGAGUUAACAGAGAAAUGGAUAUCAACAGGUUUCCAGGAAAUAAGUCUGGUGAUGCAAUCACAAAAGAUGAUACCUCACUUUAAAUCUGAUGACUUCAAAGUAGGCCUGAGAUGACUACCCUCAAAUAGGUUGAUUUUGGCAUCAGUAACACUACAGGUAAAAGCGUGCAUUAAAACUGAAGCCACAGCCUGCACAUUUGCUUCUGUAGUCCAGCAUUUAGCUUGUCUGCUGAAGAACGGUUUUAAAAAUAUCCCAGAGAAGAUGACACCACUUAUACUCUUUGACAAAUGAAUUGGGAGAUGAACAGACAUUGAAAAGAAUAUAGGAAAUGUAUCACAUUGUUUAAAAAUAAAGUCAAAAACAUCCUUUAGAAGCUUCAGAAACAAAAGCAGUAGUGUAUAAAAAAAAAGUCCUCAUUCUCAUUCAGCAACUAUGACCGAGCGCCCACUCUGCGCAAUGAGAUCUAUGAAGCAUUCAGUCAUCCGAGUUACAAGCGUGCGACGCCCAAGCAACAUCUUCCACCUGUCCCCUGCUGCAGCAUCCUCAGCCUCGGCCCUCUCCUCUGCCUCCGCGGUCUCUGUCAUCAGCAUCGUCUGCUCCAUCCUCGCUCUCCCAGUUCACACCCUUCACUUCUAAUCAGCACUCUGGCUAUAGCCUGUUCUAAAUUCUACCCACCUCUGACAUGCUGGGUCAUGCAAAAACAUUCAGGAGUAGGUCAUUUCUAGUCCAACCAAUGUCCGACUAAUUUAUCGUCGUAUGGAGGAACCUCCUCCACUUUUGUGGGGUAAACAGUUCCCGUGCCUUUCCUCAAACUCCUUUACAGGGUAUUCUCAGCGUUUUCUUCUCUUGAAUUCUUAGGAAGUGAACAUAAUUAUGGGACCAGAAUGGACAGCUAGAUGUACACCUGGAGUUAUGUUAAAUUGUGAACUGUUGCUUUAAAAAUGGGCUGGCCUUGAUGUCGCUGCUCCAGUGAGAACCGAAGCAGGGGCGGCGGCAGCAAAGCGCCUGUUCCCUGAAAAGCAGACCUCAGAACAGGAGGAACGCAGCCUGGGCCUGCAGGUGGGCAUGUGGGUAAGGAAGCCAUUGACGCCGCCGCCGCCGCACUCCUCAAAGGAAGAGCUUAACAGGCCAGUCGGGAGGGGUGUGUGCCAGUGGGUAGAUGCUACCGGGAGGGAGAGCAGGAAAUUCAGGGUAGGCUGAGUGCCGUAACUAACAGGAAUAAGUUCAGAGUUCAGAGAAACUUUCUUACUGAGUUUGGGCCCAGGCAUGACAUUCCAUUCUCCUCUAUCACCAUUCCAAAACAAGAGAUCACCUCUCCCUCUCCCUCCACGGGGAUUUCAGAUGUAUCUGAGAGAGUGGCUACACUCAGAUAAACGAAGUACAAUAAAAUAAAGCCUGCCACUGUAGCUCUGAGAAUGUGGCAUGUUGUUAUUAAUGGUACAUGUGACCAUUUCUCAUACGAACAGCAACAUUUUAGGCAACAGUGAUAAUCUAAAGGACAAAGAAGUUGACUCUACAGAAAACCACGAGAAUCUACAAAUUCCAUCCUUUAAGCAGGUCAGCUUCACCUGUUAUGAUUAGAGUUAACAGAGAAACGGAUAUCAACAGGUGAGCAGCUCAAAGCCCAACAGGGAAGUCACUGUUGUGACUCAUUCAUGGUUGCCCACGUCAAAUCAGUGUGUCACUUCCCACCCUUAAGGGUGUUUUUCCUAAUCAGGAAGCUUCUUUCUGGAGGUGGGGGAGCUCUUGAAUAUAAAAUCUUUCUCCUUUCCACAUGUCGUCUAUUUUUCUAAUACACUGGGUGCAGCUCAGAUGACAUGUGUGGGAUCCUGGGCUGUGAAAACUGGUUUUCAGAGGCCCUUGAACUCCAAGGGCUCUGAGUUAAGGGUAAAAUCCAACUACAGAGGAGUGAAGUUUUCUUGACAAGAAAGGAGUUGGAUGGGCCUGUCUCUGCCUCUUGUCAGCCGCAGAUCACGUGGGGACACUAGUGAACUGGGGGUGAGUGGGAAGAACCAGCUUCCCAAGCCCCAACAAAAAAAAAUGCCAAUUAAGGAAGCACCUCUGCAAAAGAGACUCUUUUUACCAACGGAAGCAAAUCCAGACUAGCAAAUUAGACCUUGCUGGGGAGCAGCAGGGAAGAUGAUCCAAAAGACCAAGGCACAGAGAAACCCUUAUUUAUUUUAUUUUUGUUUUAGAAAAACACCCAGGGGAGAGGUGAAUACUCUUUGACAACAGCUGCCAAGAAUAACAAGACUCAGAAGAAAUUAGGAGGCAGCAGCUAUAAAUAUACAGCAUAAGAGGAAAUGCAGCCCACAAUUUUAAGGGGAAAUGGGGCCUACUGCACUCAAAGACCAACAGUAAAAUUCAUUUAAAGGCACGGGGCAUCCCACUGGAGGACUGAGAGGAGUUUCACAGGCUUAUCUUUCAUGUCAAUCAGAAAAAUAUAUACUUGAUAAAAUAUUUUUCUUAAGUUAGUUAAAAAGUGGCUGUCAUUAGUAUCAACUUUGGGGGCACCAAAAAUUGCUUUAUGACUCAUGCAUUAAUUUAACAAAUUGUCAGUAAGAACAUACUAUGUAAUGUGCCAGUUGCUAGACAUUGAAAAGCCAAUAAGAAAUGUCUUUCAUUCUUGAACGCUAAGAGCUCACAGCCUCAUAAAGAUCAAAGUAUUUAAAUUUUUCCAUCAUGCAUCUCUUGAGUUUCCCAACUAAUCAGUUAAAACAGUGAGCCCAAGUUUCUUGGUCAGUGAUAAUGAGCCUUUUUGGAGAGACACAUUAUAUAGUAGUAAUUCCAUGGAUUUGAAUUCCCUCUGUGCCAUGCAGUGGUUGAAUGACCUUUAACAGAGUUUCUCGACCUCAGUACUGUUGACAUUUGGGGCUAGAUAUGGAGACACGGGACUUCCCUGUCAAAGGGGCCAUCUUGUGCACUGUAGGGUUCAGCAGCAUCCCUGGUCUCCACCUCCCAAAUGCCAGGAGUACCUCCCACUUUUGACAAGAAAAAGUGUCUCCAGACUUUGUCAAAUGGCCCCCCGUUAACUGCACUGUGCACAAAAUUUUUAAAAAAUCAAGAAACUAACGUUGCUUCCUUUUACUUUCCAUGGCCCUCUGUAAAAAGAGGAGUUGAACGAAUUAUUACAGUAGUCCGUGAUUUUAAACCCUUAAACGUAGUGUGUUGCCGGGGAAAAAUCAUGGCUUUAGAUUCCGUUCCAAUUCCAUCCAUUUCUGGUUGUUAGCUUUGGGUGAAUUCCUUCAUCUUAUUGAGGCCUGGACUCCUGUGCAAACGUAGGAAUGGCAGGGGGACUUAAAGGGUGUAUGCUAGAGUGCCCAGCAUACAGGAGAUGCUCCACAAUUCAGGGCUAAGCUAUUGCAGCAACUCUCAAAAACUAGUCUUUCUGAUCUAAUCUGAUGAUUGCAUAUUCCUAUUGAUAAAUGUAUCCAUGAGAAAGAUAAAACAGCUGCUCUAACAGCUGUCUGAAAAUGUCAAAAUGAAUAACAAAAUUAAAGUUUUCUCUUGCUAUACGAAGUCUGGUAUAGAUGUUCCUCACAGGCUCUGCUCCAAACAGUGUGAGGAAUCCAGGCUCCCUCCAUUGCCAACAUGGCCAUUCAUGGUCUCUAAGCCACCACAUGUGUGCCAGGUGCACAGACACCCCACUGUGGCCUGAAGGGGACACAUUCUGUGCUCUCAUGUCCCAGCAGCCGGGAGAGUCACAUGAUGCCACCUGCACACAGGAAACUUGUGGAGUGCAAAUAGUC